GGGGAGCCUAUGUUCAUUUUGACUAGUGAUUUCAGGUGGUUCUGAACUAAGGAGAUUCUUGUAGUUAAGGUUCAGUGGAGCCCAGUGGAGGAGUCUACUUGGGAGGUUGAGAGAAUGAUGUGAACCCAAUAUCUUUACUUGUUUGAGACUUUAUAUUUCCACUUAUUUUCAUUAUUAGAGCUUUUCCCUAGCUGCCCCAUGUCAUUUAUGACUUACUGGGACUGAUAGUUUGGUUACCGGGC
rnacentral:lncRNA from 1 species